rnacentral:rRNA from 1 species
AUUGAACGCUGGCGGCAGGCUUAACACAUGCAAGUCGAACGAGUGGCGGACGGGUGAGUAAUGUCUGGGAAACUGCCUGAUGGAGGGGGAUAACUACUGGAAACGGUAGCUACUACCGCAUACCAUCGGAUGUGCCCAGAUGGGAUUAGAUAGUAGGUGGGGUAAAGGCUCACCUAGGAGACGAUCCCUAGCUGGUCUGAGAGGAUGACCAGCCACACUGGAACUGAGACACGGUCCAUGGUCCUACGGGAGGCAGCAGGGGGGAAUAGUGGACAGUGGGCGCAAGCCUGAUGCAGCCAUGCCGCGUGUAUGAAGGAGGCCUUCGGGUUGUAAUGUACUUUCAGCGGGGAGGCGUUACCCGCAGAAGAAGCACCGGCUAACUCCGUGCCAGCAGCCGCGGUAAUAC